GACAGAGGGGGCAAGCGUUGCUCGGCAUCACUGGGCGUACAGGGCGCGUAGGCGGCACUGUUAGUCAGGCGUGAAAGUCCUGGGCUCAACCUGGGAACUGCGCUUGAUACGGCAGAGCUAGAGGAUGGAAGAGGCUCGCGGAAUUCCCAGUGUAGAGGUGAAAUUCGUAGAUAUUGGGAAGAACACCGGUGGCGAAGGCGGCGAGCUGGUCCAUUACUGACGCUGAGGCGCGACAGCGUGGGGAGCAAACAGG
rnacentral:rRNA from 1 species